rnacentral:rRNA from 1 species
GACAGAGGGUGCAAACGUUGUUCGGAAUUACUGGGCGUAAAGCGCGUGUAGGCGGCCCUGCAAGUCGGGUGUGAAAUCCCACGGCUCAACCGUGGAAGUGCAUUCGAAACUGCAGGGCUAGAGUCCUGGAGAGGAAGGUGGAAUGCUUGGUGUAGAGGUGAAAUUCGUAGAUAUCAAGCGGAACACCGGUGGCGAAGGCGGCCUUCUGGACAGUGACUGACGCUGAGACGCGAAAGCGUGGG